rnacentral:rRNA from 1 species
GACGAACUCUGGCGGCGUGCCUAAUACAUGCAAGUCGAGCGGACCGGAUUGGGGCUUGCCUUGAUUCGGUCAGCGGCGGACGGGUAAGUAACACGUGGGCAACCUGCCCGCAAGACCGGGAUAACUCCGGGAAACCGGAGCUAAUACCGGAUAACACCGAAGACCGCAUGGUCUUCGGUUGAAAGGCGGCCUUUGGGCUGUCACUUGCGGAUGGGCCCGCGGCGCAUUAGCUAGUUGGUGAGGUAACGGCUCACCAAGGCGACGAUGCGUAGCCGGCCUGAGAGGGUGACCGGCCAAACUGGGACUGAGACACGGCGCAGACUCCUACGGGAGGCAGCAGUAGGGAAUCUUCCGCAAUGGGCGAAAGCCUGACGGAGCGACGCCGCGUGAGCGAAGAAGGCCUUCGGGUCGUAAAGCUCUGUUGUGAGGGACGAAGGAGCGCCGUUCGAAGAGGGCGGCGCGGUGACGGUACCUCACGAGAAAGCCCCGGCUAACUACGUGCCAGCCGCCGCUGUAA